rnacentral:rRNA from 1 species
AUUGAACGCUGGCGGCAGGCUUAACACAUGCAAGUCGAGCGAGCGGCGGACGGGUGAGUAAUGUCUGGGAAACUGCAUGAUGGAUGGGGAUAACUACUGGAAACGGUAGCUAAUACCGCAUACCAUCAGAUGUGCCCAGAUUGGAUUAGCUAGUAGGUGGGGUAAUGGCUCACCUGGGCGACGAUCCCUAGCUGGUCUGAGAGGAUGGCCAGCCAAACGGGAACUGAGACACGGUCCAGACUCCUACGGGAGGAAGCAGAGGGGAAUAUUGCAAAAUGGGCGCAAGCCUGAUGCAGACAUGCCGCGUGUGUGAGGAAGGCCUUCGGGUUGUAAGGCACUUUCAGCGAGGAGGCGUUACUCGCAGAAGAAGCACCGACUAACUCCGUGCCAGCCGCCGCGGUAAUUC